AUUGAACGCUGGCGGCAGGCCUAACACAUGCAAGUCGAACGAGUGGCGGACGGGUGAGUAAUGUCUGGGAAAUUGCCUUAUGGCGGGGGAUACCUCCUGGAAACGGUAGCUAAUCCCGCAUACCAUUCGAUUUGCCAAGAUGGGAUUAGCUUGUUGGUGGGGUAACGGCUCACCAAGGCAACGAUCCCUAGCUGGUCUGAGAGGAUGACCAGCCACACUGGAACUGAGACACGGUCCAGACUCCUACGGGAGGCAGCAGUGGGGAAUUUUGCACAAUGGGCGCAAGCCUGAUGCAGCCAUGCCGCGUGUAUGAAGAAGGCCUUCGGGUUGUAAAGUACUUUCAGCGGGGAGGCGUUACCCGCAGAAGAAGCACCGGCUAACUCCGUGCCAGCAGCCGCGGUAAUAC
rnacentral:rRNA from 1 species